CCGGUCUCGCCUGUUUAUCAAUAGCAUUGUCAUUAGAACCUAUUCCUGGUACAUCCUGCCCGGUGAUCUAUUAAACGGCCGCGGUACCCUGACCGUGCAAAGGUAGCAUAAUAAUUUGCCUAUUAAUUGUAGGCUUGUAUGAAAGGACACACGCGAGUAAACCUGUCUCUAUUAAGCAAAUAAAACUUUAUUUUUGAGUGAAGAAGCUCAAAUAAACCCGCAGGACAAGAAGACCCUAUAGAGCUUUACCCUACAUAUUUCCACAAAAAAUAAACCACGGUUCGGUUGGGGCAACCGGGGCAUACUAAACAACCCUAAUUUCUCUAUGAUUUCUUAAUCUAACAACGACCCUAUAUAGGAUCACUAAACCAAGCUACCUUAGGGAUAACAGGCUAAUCCUCUUUAAGAGCCCGUAUUAACAAGAGGGGUUGGCACCUCGAUGUUGGCUUAGGACUCCUCUAUGAUGCAGCAGUCAUAAUAAGUUGGUUUGUUCAACCAUUAAAAUCCUACGUGAUCUGAGUUCAGAACCGG
rnacentral:rRNA from 1 species